UGUGCAGUCUGCAAAUUAAAGGAGACGAGGAGGAUUUUUCUUCUGCACAUGACAAGAUAGUAAAUUGUGUAACAGCAAGCAUUCACAUAGCGCACACAACUGAUAUUAUUCAACAGCAGAAGAAGUUGAUUGAUUUUUUCUUAAUUUCACUUUCACCUAGCUAUCCAUGGGCAGUUAAAGUGUCUGUUUUUUCCUCAAUUAAGGAGCUAUGCUCAAAGCUGCACACAGAGACAGUUGAUUCUCAGGAUACUUCUCAAUAUACUAGCAUAGUUGCUUUUAUUCAUGAGCAGGGCCGGCUGUAGGGCUAGGUGCAAGUCUAUGAUGUGGAAAAGAAUGAGCAUGCUAAGUCUUUGCUCAAGAGAUGCAUUGACAUCCUAGAAAACCUCGAAAAAGAGCACAAAGUUUCAAGUUGAAUCCAGUGAUAAUAUCUGGACCUUCG